rnacentral:rRNA from 1 species
UGGGGAAUAUUGGACAAUGGGGGCAACCCUGAUCCAGCCAUGCCGCGUGUGUGAAGAAGGCCCUAGGGUUGUAAAGCACUUUAAGUUGUGAGGAAAGCAUUAUUGCGAAUAGUGAUGAUGUGUGACGUUAGCAACAGAAUAAGCACCGGCAAACUCCGUGCCAGCAGCCGCGGUAAUACGGAGGGUGCGAGCGUUAAUCGGAUUUACUGGGCGUAAAGCGAGCGUAGGCGGUGGUAUAAGUUGGAUGUGAAAGCCCGGGGCUUAACCCCGGAACUGCAUCCAAAACUGUAUCACUAGAGUAUGGUAGAGGGAGGUAGAAUUUCCGGUGUAGCGGUGAAAUGCGUAGAGAUCGGAAGGAAUACCAGUGGCGAAGGCGGCCUCCUGGACUAAUACUGACGCUGAGGUUCGAAAGCGUGGGGAGCAAACAGG